rnacentral:rRNA from 1 species
CUUGGUCAUUUAGAGGAAGUAAAAGUCGUAACAAGGUCUCCGUAGGUGAACCUGCGGAGGGAUCAUUACAAGUGACCCCGGUCUAACCACCGGGAUGUUCAUAACCCUUUGUUGUCCGACUCUGUUGCCUCCGGGGCGACCCUGCCUUCGGGCGGGGGCUCCGGGUGGACACUUCAAACUCUUGCGUAACUUUGCAGUCUGAGUAAACUUAAUUAAUAAAUUAAAACUUUUAACAACGGAUCUCUUGGUUCUGGCAUCGAUGAAGAACGCAGCGAAAUGCGAUAAGUAAUGUGAAUUGCAGAAUUCAGUGAAUCAUCGAAUCUUUGAACGCACAUUGCGCCCCCUGGUAUUCCGGGGGGCAUGCCUGUUCGAGCGUCAUUUCACCACUCAAGCCUCGCUUGGUAUUGGGCAUCGCGGUCCGCCGCGUGCCUCAAAUCGACCGGCUGGGUCUUCUGUCCCCUAAGCGUUGUGGAAACUAUUCGCUAAAGGGUGUUCGGGAGGCUACGCCGUAAAACAACCCCAUUUCUAAGGUUGACCUCGGAUCAGGUAGGGAUUCCCGCUGAACUUAAGCAUAUCAAUAAGCGGAGGA